AUCCAGGUCAGCUUCUUUCUCCCACCUACAUCCCAGCUGGGCCGAUACACAUGCCGGCCCCAGUGAGUGCCAUUACUAUAGAGCACUGAUGCUUGUGCAGGCAUGGGAUGAUUCCUCUGGGUCUUAGUAGUCACAGUUGUCACAUCCUGCUGCAGAUCUGUUGGACCAAAUUACAAGCAAAAUACAGGUCCUAUAACAAGCUUUUUAAAGGCUGUUGAAAAAAUAAUGAUGUCAGGAACCACCUAUGGCACGGAAUCACUGAUCAACCAGGAAUAACUGAACAACCAGCUUCCAUGGUUGUGGAGAAACGACGUUUCGUUCCAAUGUGUACAAGCUAUAUAGAGGAAUAUCAAUAAAAACCCCACUUGAUUUGAAACACAGAUAGUUUUUUAAUAUAGAUUAUGGCUGUCAAUAUUUUUCUUUUCCUCUGACAUUUCAGCAUUAAUACUCACACUUAGAACUAAUGCGCUCCAUUUCAAGCAUCUGUGACAUAAAAUAGUUUUUAACCUACAAAAAAAUGGGGAUAAUUAUAGAUGACUCUUGUCCACUGGAUGGAAUUUUAACUGACACACUCCACCAGUUUCCACCACUGGUCACACAGGUUUUUGUUUAAAAAUGUUUUAAUGGUUAAUGUUAAAUAGUUUCCUGUCUCCUUG